AGGAAUUCCAAAGAAACAAUAAGAAAUUUAAAAAAAAUAUUAGAAUUAUUACAUACAUAUCUCAAAUACAUCUCAAUUCAAUCUUAAUUUAAUCCUAGUUGAAAUCUUAUUGGACUUCAUUCAACCUUUAGGCCAAAAACUAACUAAAUCUUAGAUUCUAAAUAAACUCAAAUAAAAUCCUAAAUCCUAAAUCAAAUCUUGAUAAAAUCCUAAUCAAAUCUUAAACCCUAAAUCCUAAAUCAAUCUCUAAUCAAAUUCUAAAUCCUAAAAUAAAUCCUAAUCCUAAAUCAAAUCCUAAGCAAAUACUAAACCCUAAAUCAAACCUUAAUCCUAAAUCAAAUCCUAACCAAAUCUUAAAUCCUAAAUCAAACUCUAAUCCUAAAUUAAACUCUAAUCAAAUCCUAAAUCCUAAAACAAAUCCUAACCAAAUCCUAAUCCUAAUCAAAUCCUAAUCCUAAACUCUAAAUCAAAUCCUAAUCAAAUCCUAAUCCUAAAUCAAAUCCUAACCAAACCCUAGUAAUUUCUACAACAGAUUUAAACCUCAAUAACUAAUGAAUGAACCGUUGAUCUUAACUCAAAAUUUGCACACUUCUUAAAAACUAAAUUGAAAACAAGAAAAAAAAAUUUGAAAAAGAUCAAACUUACCAAAUAGACGAUAAUCCAAAAAACAUACUCGGAUAUUGACUGGCCGCCUUCUCUAACCUUGAUGCCAAUCUCUCAGAGCCAAUAUCUCUUCUUUUCACCGUUUGAUUCAUAUCAAAAUUCUUAUACACAUAGAAAAAAAAGUCUAAUAUCCUCAUACAAAUUUUACUCCAAUCUAAGUAAUAGAUUAUAAGAAAUCUUAAAAACCCUCAUUAGACCUAAAAUUUUACUUUCGAAGAUCUUGAUUCACUUAAACCUUAAUAAUCUUCAAUUCAACCAUUAGAUCAAGCUAAGAUUUACAACUCAUAUUAAGCACAAAUAUGACUAUUAACCUACAAAAUUUCACCCAUAGAUCUUUUACAAAACUCUUGAAAUCACUAGAAACAUCAACCCUAUUUAUUUCACAAAAUCCAAGUCAUCCAAAAAUAAUCUUGAUUUUUAAAAGCUCUUACAAAGUUUGUAAGAGCUUUACAAAGUUUGUAAGAGCUUUACAAAGUCAAGAUUAUUUACCAAGUUUGUAAAAGUUUUACAAAGUCAGUAUUUGGAGUUUUGUACCUUGAGGUCUGAUUUCGACCCAGGUUAAUAACCAACCCUCCUCGGGUAUCAAUAUCUAAUUUUUUAGUUAAUGUUUGCUAGAAUUUACUCUUAAUUUUCUCCUUAAGUUACUUAUAUCAUUUAUUUUUCCAAUCUACCUUAUUUUGUCUUAUUUAUGGCCCUAUAAAGUAAAUAGAAGUCACUUUUGUAUAAAGACAGUACUACUACUAAAAGUUUUACUACCUUCCUAUCUUUUAUCCAUAUUUUUCUACUUUAUUUUUUAACUUGGCUCUUCUAUAAUAAGAUCUAUAUUAUCAUCUUUUACUAUAUAGUCAUGUUAUAACAUGACAGCAUAUUGAAUUUGAGCAAUUUGAGUUUGUAAUGACUUUGUGAGAGCAUUACAAACUUAGGAUUAUUUAGAGUGACUUUAGGAUUUAAGAAAUAAAAUAAGAUUUAUAAAUAUUAUAAUUUUAAAAGUUUUAAAGUAGAUUUAUAAAUAAAAUUUGGUGGAAUUGUGAACAUAAUUGUGUUUAAAAUAUAUGUUAUAAAUUUGAAUUUAAUUGGACAAUUGGAUUGAAGGUUAUUGAAGUUCAAGUGGAUUAGGGUCUCAAAAAUUGGAUUUUUAGGUCUAAUAAGGUCAUCUAAGAUUAGCAACAAUCUUCAAUUGUAUUGAGAUGAUUUUUAUUAGAGCUAAUAAUUGACUUGACUUUUAAUACUUAUACAAAAUUUGAGAAUAAGUUAUUAAUUCAAUUAUAAAUUAUUUCUAUUGAAAGAUCAAUACUAAAAUAAAAGAUGAAGGCUAGCCAACAUCGAAGUAAAUUAUGAUAUUUUUCUCUCAUUUCGUAAGUUGGAUUUUCUUCAAAUUUAUUGUGCUUAUUAUUAAUUUAGAAAUUGAAAAGUAUGUAAAAUUUCAAAUAAGAUCAAUGAUUUAAUCAAUAGAUAUUGAGAUUCUAAAACUAUUGUAGGAUUUAUUUGAAUUAAUUAGAUUUUAAUUAAUAUUUAAUUUAAAUUAAUCAAAGUUUGAUUUAGAAUUUAGGAUUUAAUUAGAAUUAAUUUAUGAUUUAAAAUAUAAUUAGUUUCUAUUUAAGAUUUAGUAUUUCUUUAAGGUUUUGUUUGGAUUUCUUUAGAACUUCAUAAGGAUUUCUUUUAGAUUCUUUUAUGAUUUUUUAAAAAUUUCUUUAAGAUUUCUUUGGAUUUUUUUGGAUUUCUUUAGAAAUUUUUUAUUAUUUUUUUAUGAUUUCUUUAGAAAUUAUUUAAGAUUUUUUUGUAUUUUUUUAUAAUUUCUAUGAAAAUUUAAUUUGAAUUAACCAAUAUUUGAUUAUAUUUAUUAAGCUUUAAUUACAUUUUAUAUAUGAUUCUAUUAGAAUUGUUAGGACUUGUUAUUACAAUUUUCUUUUACCUUCUACAAGUAGGUGUUUAAUGCAUUUUCAAGGAAGAUACUAUAUAAUAUGACAAUAGAAAAGACAAUAUAUUUGUAACUAUUGAAGAUCUUCAGAAGUUUGUCAAUUCUUUAAGAGUAGAAAUUACAUAUAUUUUUAAUGGAAAUCAUGGAGGUACUAUUCCUAUAUAUAUGAAAGAAGUCAAGACUCUAAAUUAUUAUAUUUCAAUACAACUAUAUGAUAAAAAUAUAAUUAAAAAUAAAUUUUUAAUUAAUAUUUAAUCAUUUUGAUUCAAUAAUAAUUUUAGAUAUUUAUACAUGGCUUUUAUAAAAGCUUCUUAGUUUAUUUUCUUGUUUUAAUAGCUCGUAGAUUAAAGAUUGGCUAAUAAUUUUAUCUUCUAGACUAAAGAAAUUCUUUUAGUACUUUAAAAAGGCCAUAAAUUAAUAAAAAUAGAAUAAAAGAGGUAAAUAAUUAAUAUGGUUGAUACUAGGAUUAAAUUGAAGGUAGGAUUGGGCUAAAAAAUACUUAGGAUAGGUUAGAUUGAUACCUAAGGAUCGACCAUUUGUGGGACAAGGUCAAAAUCAAACCUCUAAUUAUUAAAAUAAUUGCUUAGGACAAAGUAUAGAGGCAUUUGAAGAUCAAAAAUUGGGAUUGGUGAAUUAGCUUUAAUCUUGUUUUAGAAUUAUAAGACUUAUUUUCAUAGGAUUUGAAAUAACUUUGAAAUUAUUAUUUAAAGUUAGGAUUUGUAUCAAUGACUUUGAAUUUAUGUAAUAUAAUUAGGGCUAGUACUUUUGGCUAGUUUGUGCAAUUGGUGUCACAUCUAUGAUUCAAAAAUUGAUAAUACUUGGUUGAUUGGAUGUACUAGGUGUAUAUAAAAUAUUAUGUUGAUUUAAUGGUGCACUUAAAAGAUAUCUAAUUUUUGGUAUAAGAGGACAUCAAAAUUUGGUAAUUUGGGAUUUGGUAGGAUUUCUAUAAUAUCUAAAGAUCUAUUAGUUGGAACAUAAUGAAAUUUGGCAUAGUGUUAGAAGACUUCAAGAUCAAGCUAUAUAUUAGUUUUGAAUUAAAGUUAAUAGUUGAAAAAAGAGAUAUUAUUACUAAAAUUUUUGUAUCAACUUUUUAGAUAGUAGCCAAGUGAUAUUAGUGUGGUUUUUUGGAUAUUUCUCACAAUUUGUAAGUUGAAUUAGACAAAAUAUUUUUGAUCAUAUAGAAGAUUUAUAGUAGCAUUUGUAUGCAAAAUUUUACAUUGAAUGGAUAGUUAAAUUAAGAAUUACAAUUCACUAAAGCUCAUUGACUAGGAUUAAAGCUUACAUAGAAAAAUCAAAAUUACCUAAUUAUGAAAGUAACAAUUCAAUUAUAGUAUAGGUAUAUUUUUAAUUAUUAAUAAGAUUAUUUUUGAGCACUUUGUAUUUACUUUAAGCACUUUUGAGUUAAAAUUCAAAUUGCAUUAUUUUUAUAUGGAUGAAAUCUAUUAGGAUUUUUUAGAUAUUUAUAAAAUACAAUUUCACCUUUCACAUCCAAGUGUCCGGUGUAUUUUCAAUUAAGAUAAUACAUAAUAUGAUACCUCUAAAAAAUUGUGCACUUAAAAGAAGUAAAUAAAUCAGCCUAACAACCAAAUUUAAGAAGACUUUCUUAUAAAAGAAUAAAAGAAGCAAGGAUUAGUAUUCUUGAGAAGUUUGAUGGAAUAAGAUUACAAUUUUAAAGAUUUUUGCAACAAAUUAAGUUCUAUUUAAGAUUGCAUCAUUUUCAAUACCUUGAUGAAUUUACUUAAAUUGGAUUCAUAGGCACAUUUCUAUCAAAAGGUGCUUUCUUUUGGUUUUAACCUUUGAUGAAAAAAUAUUUAUAAUUAUUUUAUGAUUUAUAUUUUAUUUUUAGAAGUAUUUAUAGCUAUAUUUUAAAAAAAUAUUUAAAAAAAGGGAAUAAAGACCAAGCUUGUAUUACUACAACAAAGAUUACAUUUAGCCACAAUAUAUACUAUUGAAUUCUAAAAUCUUGCUUGUAAAAUGAAUUGGAAUGAUAAAGCCAUUAUCAAGUAAUUUCAAUAUAGAUUAAAAAAUAAUAUUAAAGAAUUAUUGUUGAAAAUAUCAAAAAUAAAUUUAUUAAAGUAAUUUAUUGCUUAAGCCAUUAUAAAUAGUAAUUGACUCUUUUUAAAAUGCAAGGAACAAAAAUUUGGUUGAAGAAGUAAAAGUCAUGCCAUAGUGAAACCUUCUAAGUUUUUGGAAGUUUAUUUGUCUAAGCCAGAGCCUGUGCAAAUUGAUAAGAUAUAUUUUAAACCUCUUAUUAAGCAAAAAAAAGACUUCUUGUUGUUAAGAAGGUUUAUGCUUAUAUUGUGGAAAAUCCAAGCACACUACUCAAAAUUAUCUAAUAAAUCAAUUCAAUCAGAAAAUGAAGAUCAUGGUAGCCAAAGAAGACAAUGUGUCAGAAAACAAGUUUUUUUAACUACAAUAGGAACAAUGUGGCUGAAAUCUUGUAUAAUGCUUAGUAAAGGUCUUAUUAUUUCUUUAGAUCCGUCAUGUUAUUUCACAAUAGAAAUUUAUUUAGGACCUAAAAUCACAAAGUCUUAACCUUGCUAGAUUUAAUAGCCUUAUCUAAUUUUAUAGAUAAAGGUUUUGUCAAAGAAUAAGAAAUAUUAUCAGUCAAAAAAACUAAAUCCAUACAUUUAGAAGUCAUAGAUGGUCAUUUUCUACCUUUUGGAGAUAUUAUCUAUGAAACUAUUCUUUUAGAUGUAGCAAUUAAAGAUCAUAAUAGUAUAAUAAUAUUUAAUGUCAUAAGUUCUUCUUCCAAUUUAAUUAUUUUAAAUUAUUUUGGUAAAAAAAAUAUAAUUUCUAAAUAAAUUUGAUUUCUUGUAAUCUUAACUUUUCAUAUAGUUUAAUCUAAAAUUUGAUUAAUCAAAUACAAAUACAUAAGUCUAAUAUAUCUAAAUCAUUACAAGUACGUGCGAGAGCUUUCAUGCAUGCAAAAAAAGAAGGAUCAUCUUUUGUUAUAUAUGUCAUGCCCAUUUUUGAUGAUAGAAAGACGUCAAGUAAUAUUCUUGGCUAGCAUUAAGAUUUCUAAGAUAUUUUAAAAAAAAAAUAUAGAUAUUCUUCUAAAGCAUGGAUCAUAUGAUUAUUCAAUUGAUUUACAAGAAGGAGUUCAACCACCAUUCGGACUAACCUACAACUUAUUCUAAAAUAAAUUGGCUAUACUAAAAGAAUAUAUUAUAGGAAAUUUAGCUAAAAACUUCAUACGCUAUUUUAAAUCUCUAAUCAAGGCUCAUAUCUUAUUUGUAAAGAAAAAAGAUAGAUCUUUGUGGAUGUAUGUAAACUACUGAGGACUCACAAAGAUCACCAUGAAGAAUAGAUAUCUUCUACCUUUAAUUUUAAGAAUUUUUGAUUAAUUGAAUCAAGCAAUAAUCUACACAAAAAUAGAUCUACAAAGAACAUAUAACAUAGUUUGCAUCAAACAAGGAGAUAAAUACAAGACUACUUUUUAUACUAGGUAUCAAUAUUUUGAAUAUAAUAUCAUGCCUUUUGGACUCACAAACACACCAACUCCUUUUCAACAUCUUAAGAAUGAUUUUUUUCAUGAGUUUCUUAAAUAUUUUAUUUUUUGUUAUUUAGAUGACAUUCUAAUCUAUUCUAAGAAUACAAAUGAAUAUAAACUUUAUGUUUAAUAUAAAUUAAGCUCUUCUUAAUAGCUUUUUAUUCCAAAAAAAAAUUUAAUACUCAAAAUUAAUUAUGAAAUCUAUGAUAAAGAAAUUCUUGUAAUUGUGGAUUCAUUUCAAGAAUGGCAUCAUUAUGUAGUAGGUACAUCAAGUCCAAUCACCAUAUAUAUAUAUAUAUAGAUAUAUAUAUAUAUAUAUACAUACAUAUAUAUACAUCAAAAGAACCUCAAGUAUUUCAUAUUGGCAUGUGUUUUGAAUUAUUGCCAAGCUUUCUAGACCAUGUUUUUAUCAAGUUUUGAUUUUAAGAUCACCUUCUUGUUUAUCAAAUAUUCUCUCUAGACAUUCUUAUUUUACAUCAAAAAAAAAAUAUAUCUUUUGAUCAAGAAAGAAUAAUUUCCUUAAAACUAAAGCAAUUUUACCUUUGAGCAAUAAAAUCAACAUAGGUUAUUUAUUCAAUAUUUUUCAAGUAAGUUCAAUUAAGAAUGUCCUUUGAUUGUAUUGUUUAUGAUAUUCAAAAUAAAUAUUUUAAGUCUCAUAAUAUUUCUAAGUUCAAGUUCAAAAAUAAUCUACUCUAUUUUGAAGGAAAAUUAUAUAUUCUAAAAAGUAAAGCACAAUUACAUGUUUUUCAAGCUUGUCAUGAUUUUCUAGCAACCAAAUUUUUUAGAUACAACAAGACUUUGGAAUUAAUAUUUAAAGAUUUUUGGUGGCUUCAAAUGUGGAAGUCAGUUAUAAACUUUUUACAAUCAUGUGAUAUUUGUUCAAGAUCCAAAAAUCUUUCUUAUAGAUAUUUUUAGCUAUUAUCUAUUUUUAAAUAACUAUGGUUUUUUGUUUUUAUAAAUUUUAUCACAAAUCUUUCAAUCUUAGAUUUUUAUGAUUCUAUAUUUGUGAUAAUAGAUCAUUUUAUCAAGAUGGUAUAUUUUAUAUCUUGUACAAAAUCUAUCACAUGUAAAAAAAAUUGAUAUUUUUUUUUAAUAAUAUUUAUUAUAAUCAUGGAUUAUUCAAAGAUAUUAUAUUGAAUAUGAAAAUUCAAUUUAUAUAAAAAUUUUAAAGAAUCCUCUUUAAGAUUCUAAAGAUAGAUAUAAAGCUCUCUUUAAUUUUUCAUCCUCAAAUUAAUGGAUAAAUAAAAUGGAUGAAUCAAGUUUUAGAGCAAUAUUUAAGGUAUAUCAUUAAUUAUCAUUAAAAUGAUUAAACAACUUGUUUGUCAUUGGCAAAGUUUGCAUAUAAUAAUUUGGUAUAUUUUUCUAUUUAAUAAAUAUCUUUUUUAUAAAUUAUGGUUAUUAUCUAUAACUUAAUACUUUUAACUUUUCAAAAGUUGAUAAUCAUAUGGCGAAAGAUUUGACAAAUUAUUUGUUAGAGCUACAUGCAAUAAUAAAGGCAUAGUUGAAAAAAUCUCAAAAAUAAAAAAUAAAAAUUACUGUAGAUGUCUAUCAUAAAGAACAACCACAAUUCAACAUGGAUGAUAUGAUAUGAUUACUUUAUUGCAAUAUCAAGACUACUAAUUUUAGUGAUAAAUUAAACUAUUGUGAGCUUGAAUUUUUUAUUAUUUGUGAAAAAGUCAAUCCUAUUACUUAUUGAUUAUAUCUAUUGGUAUCAUAUUAUAAUUAUUUAUAGUAUGUGAUAAUUAAUUAAAAUAGAUAAUAUAUUUAUAAGUAUUGAUGUACUUUAGAAUGAUUAGUGGAUUAAUUUAAAGAGAAUUGAUGUAAGAAAAUUUAUUUUGAGGUUUAUUUAUGUUAAUUAUAGUAUUUAAAUUAUAUAGGAUUUAGAUAUUUAGUAUAAAACUUGAAAAAAUUGGGACUCAAAGAUAAAGAUUCAAACUUCUAAAAAAUUUAUUUGGAGGGAUGAAAGCAAGGCAUGGAUAGAUAAAGGCAAAAGGUAAAGAUCUUCAUCUUUAGUGGUCGAAGGCCAUACUCAAUAGGCAUUUUGCAAGCUAUUUGCGACCGUAACAAGGAUUUUGGCAACUUCAAAAGAGGUAUUUAAGAAUCAAAAGCAAGAAUUGUAAGAUUUAGGAUUUGAGCUACAAUUUGUGUGCAAAUUUUAGAGGAUUUGGAAUUAUAUAAUAUCUUCUAAAGGAGAUUUGGAGUUUCAUAAUAUCUUCUAAAGAAGCUUUUUACAAGCUUUAUAGAUAUGAUUUUGAUUUUACAUGUGUUUGUAAUUGAUUGAUAGGUUAAAAACUUGAUCAAUAAGAAAAACAUGUGCUACAUAUUGGUAGCUUAUAGAACAAGCUAACUAUAUGGCGUACAUCUAGAAAACUUGCAAUACAAGUUAAGCCAUAUAUCUAGCAAAGUUAACACAUGUUAGAGGUCCUAUAGAAUAUUAUCAUGUAAUUCCUAAUUAAAUAGUAAAUAUAGAUAUAAGAAUGAAGCCUUUUUUCACUCUUGUCAAUGUCUUUUUAGUCUUUAGUCUUCUUUCAAAUUUUUUUGUCUUCUUGUCUUUGCUUUAGCUAUUCUAAUUCAAUAUACUACUAUCUUUGAGUGAAUUCUUAGUCUUUUCAAGUGAUAUAAGAGUAUAUUGAAGAUUUCUUUCUUCAAGUUUUAUAUCCUUGAUAUCUUUCCAUUAUAUGCAUUUUUUUAUAUUCCCAAGUAAAGAAGAUUCAUGCAAAAAAAUUAUAUCUCAUGUUCAAUAAUAUACUCGCUUUUCUGUCCUUUUGCAGUGUUGUAGGUACUACCUAGCAUCCAAAGCACAUUUGCCUAAACUUCUUGUCCACAAAUAAGUAUCAAAUUACAACAUAAAAGUUGUUAAAAAAAUAAAUAAAUCAAGAUAAUAAUAAUGAACUUCUAUUAUCUUAAUAAGAGGUGUAUUAUAAAAGUUGAUGAUAACUUCAAUAAUAAAGAAACAUAAAUAUAUAAUAACAUGAUUUAAGUAUUUAAAUAUAAUAAUUAUUUUUUAAUACUCUCUUUUAAUUUAAAUUUAAACUAUCUACUAAUUUUCUUUUUUUAUAUUCAUUAGAUCUAAAUAUUUUAAAUAUUUGGGUAUUUUUAAAGUUUUUUUCAAAGCUUUAGCUACUAUAUUUUUUAAUUAAAUAAAAUAAAUUUUUAAUAUUAAAAAUCUAAUAUUUAUUUUAAAUGUUUUUUAGCAUCUUUAUUAUUUAAAGCUUCUAUGUUUAUAAAAGAUUCAUCAAAAUUAAUUAAAGUAGAUAAAUGAUUUAUAAAUAAAACAUGAUUAUAAUAUUUAUUUAAUAAAUUUAAUCUUCUAUAUCUUAUUAAUAGAAUGGAUGAUGAAGAUCUUAAAUUAUUUAAAUUGAUAUCAUUCAUUAUAUCAUUAUUUUUUGAUAAUAGAGUAUUAAAGGCAAUUAAUAAUUUAAAAAAUAUUUGUCUAUAUUAUAAUUUAUUUUGAACAUUAUUACUAUUACUCUAAAUAUUUUAAAUACAAGCAUCAUGAGAUAGUACAAAAUCAUUAGAUAUUGUCAAUUAUAUAAUUACUUCAAGUUUUGUUUUAAAUAAAGUAUUAAUAAUUUUUUUUAUUAUUAUUGCUGAUUUUUAUUAAUUCAUUCUUAAGAGUAAAUAAAUCUUUUAAUAAGGUAAUUUCAUAAAAGAUAAUAUUUCAACUAAUAAGAUUUUUUUUGUAUUUCUAUUAUAUAAUAGGUAAUUUUUUAUGCCUUCUAAUGAACUAUAGUCAAAAAAUAUAUAUUUUUAUUUUUUAUUUCAAGAUUUUAUUAAUAUUUAUUAAAAAUAUGUACAUAUGUCAUACAUCUAAAGAUCUUCAAAUGAUUGAAAAGAUGUGUUUUAUCACACUACAAUGUCAAAGGAGUCAUUGAAGCUUCUAAUGCCUUUAAAAAGGUUCUAUUUUGUAUACAAUAAGCUGUAGCUAAUGAUCUGCCUAAAAUAAUUUGGAUAAUCUAAAUGUAUAUAAAAUACAUUUAAUAGUAUUGUAUAAAACACAAUCAUUAAGUAAAAAAAAGAAAAGAAAUAUUAUAUUAUAGAAAAGCUUAAAUGAAGAUAAUUUACUAAAUUAUCUUAGAAAAAUGAUACAUAGAUAAGGAGGUAGUAAAAAUUAAUAAGUACUAAUAAUAUCUUUUUAUAGAAAAAACUUCUACUUACUUUGUAGAGGCAUAAAUGAGCCAAAUCAAAGUAGAAGGGAUAAUUAAUUAAUACAAACAUCUUUAAAAAAGAGUUGAGAAUAGAUUUUAGCAAAAAUUACCUUAAAAUAUUAAGAAUUGGUACUUAGAAAGGAUUGGUUGUGAACCAGGGCUGAAAUCAGACCUUGAAUCAAAAAAUCCUUUACUUAUGGCAAUUUUAGGACUCUUUGGUUCAUUAAAGAGAAAAUUUUGAAAGCAUCCUUAUGAGAGGUUUUUUAGGAGUUGCUUUCAUGUGAUUUGAAGGUAUAUUGAAUUUUUGAAGACAUUCCAAAGUGAAAAAUAUACUCAAUGGUUUUGGAUUUUGAUAAAUAAAAAAGGAUUUACAAAUUUGAAGAUUGUAAGAGUCUUGUAGCUUAUUUACGGAUGAAAUACUAUGAAUUUGUCAUUGUGCUUAUCUUGAAUGUAUUUAAGAAAUUUAAUGUCAAUCAAAAAAUUAGAUUAAAGGAUUUAAGAAUUUUAUUGCAUUAGAAUCUUGGAUAUUUGAAAUUUAGGAUCAAUGAGGAUUUUUGUAAUUCUACAAAAUUUGCAAGUUUGAUUGAAGUAAAAAUUGGUGAGACCAAUUUGCACUUAGAAAUCUAUAUAUUAGCAAAUUUUUGAAGCAAUGGAAUUAUUCAACAAGAAAAAAUUACUACUAAAAGAUCAACAUUUAAUUUAGAGAAUAAAGGCAACCAACAUCUACGAGGUUUAGGAGUUUUUUUUUAUUUUAUUGAUGAAUUUAAUUUUUAUCAAAUUUUAUAUAUUCUUUAUUAAUUUAAAAUUAAAAUAUAGAUGAAAUUUUAGUUAAAAUUAAUGAUUUUAUUAAUAUUAGUUAAUAUUUAAAAAAAAACUAUAAAAAUUGAUUAGAAUUUAUUUAAGAUUGAAUUAGGAUUUUAUUAGGAUUUAAUUUGAAUUUUAUUAGAAUUGGUUUAAGAUUUUACUAGGAUUUAUUUAGAAUUUGGUUAGGAUUGGUUCAGAUUUCAUUAGGAUUUAGUAAGGAUUUGAUUAGAAUAUAGGAUUUAGUAGAAAUUUUAUUAGGAUUUGAUUAGGAUUGAUUUAGAAAUUCAUUAUGAUUUUUUUAAAGUUACAUUAAAAUUUGGUUAGGAUUCAUUUAGGAUUUUUAUUUUUAAAUUUUAAAAAUAUUUCUUUUAUAUUUUUUUAAGAUUAAUAUUUUUUAUUAUUUUAUAAAUUUUUAUUAUAUAUAUAUAUAUAUAUAUAUAUAUAUUUUUAAGAUUAAUUUAUGAUUUUUUUAUUUUUUAUUUUUUAUUUUCUUCAAGACUUUUUUUAGAAUUUAAUUAAAAACUGAUUAACAUUUUUAUUAUUUAAUUAAAAUUUAUUUAAGAUUUUAUUAAUGUUAUUAAGAUCUUGUUUAUAAUUCCAUUUUAUUUUCUAUAGCCAAGUGCCUAAUACAUUCUCAAGCAAACUUCAUGGAAUACAACAAUGGAUUUUAAUUUAAUUCUAUUCUUUUGCUUACUAUUACCACUUUGUUUUGGUAUAUAGGAUAUAAUAAGUUGAUAUUAUUCUUUUGUAACAAGGCUAUGACAUGAAAGAAAAAAAAUUUAAUUGUAGUUUAAAAAUUAUGGAUAAAAAUAAAAAAAUAUUAAAUAUAUUUAGUGUUAACAUUAAAAUUUUAAAAAUUACUUCUAUUUAUUUUGUAAAGACAUAAAUAAGAUAAAGUAAUUAGAUUAAAAAAAAAUCAAACAUCUUUAAAAAAAAAUCAAGAGUGGUUUCUAGCAAAAAAUACCUUAAAAAGUUAGAAAUUGAUAUCUAAAGAGGACCAAUUGUGAAGUAGUAUCAAAUCCAAACUCUAAGAUAUAAAGUUGUGUACCUACGGUAGUUUUGAGAUUCUUUUGUUAAUCAAAGAAUAAAGAUAGAGAAUUGACUUUAGAAGGUUUAUUAAAGAAAUAAUUUCAAGUGAUUUGGACUAAAUUUAAGUUAAUCAAAACUUUUCAAAGAUAAAGAUGUUUUCAUUGAUUUUGGAUUUUAAAAAAUAAAAGAGAGUAUAUAUAUGUGAAAAAUUUGUGGGCUUUGUAGUAGAUAGAUAGAUGGAAUUUGUAGGUUUUUUUUAGAAUUUUAUUAAUAUUAUUCAGGAUUUUAUUAAAAUUUACUAGUUUUGAUUUAGGAUUUAAUUAAGAUUUUAUUAGAAUUUGAUUAGAAUUUACUUAGUAUUUUUUUAAAAUUUACUUAAAUUUAAAUAUCUUAAAUUUACUUAGUAAAUUUACUUAGAUUUAAAUUUAUUUAUAUUUUCAUUAUUAUUCUUUUAAAAUUUUUUCAAGGCUUUUUUAGAAUUUGAUAAGAUUUGACUAAGAUUGUUAAGAUUCAAUUAGAGUUUUUUUUAGAAUUCUAUUAGGAUUGUUAGGAUCUUUAUUUAUUGCAAUUUCUGGUUUAUAUCCUAUAACCAAAUACUUAUUAUAUUCUCAAGUAAGACAACAUAUCAUACAACAAAAUGUUAUUCUAUGUUAAAUACAAAAAUUAUAAAAAAAAUUAUAUAUAUUUUUUCUUGUUGCAAAAGAAUAAAGUUUUCAAUUUAUGAUUUUUAAAAAUUUUGGCACAAGUUUUAUAAUCUUGAAAUAUUUGAAAUACCUUCAAUUUAUGCUUUAAAAAAUACAUUGUUAUGAAUCUUAAAUAAUCAUCAAUUAGAUAGAAAAAUAAGUAAAUCUUUUAAUAGAUUUAGUUUGUAUGAAAUCACAUACAUUAAUGUAUAUCAAUUCAAGCGGUUUUGAAGCAUGUAGAGUUUUAUCUUUAAAAAAAGAAUUUUUAUGUUGUUUAUUGACUAAAUAAAUUUUAUACAAGAAAAUAUGUAAUAUUUUUAUUAAGAUAUUUAUACCAAGCUUACUUAUUUCUUUUAAUGCAUAUUCAUUAAUAUGUCCUAAAUAUUGAUGAUAUAUAACAAUUUUCUUUGUAGGUAUUUCACUUACCACAAAUAAAUUUGAUUGUUUAAAGAUUGGACUUUUAACUUCUAUUAGAUAGAGAUUUUUGGCUUGAGUAAUUCUUUUUAUAAGAUAUUUUUUAUUGUUGGAUUAUGUUUUGAUAUUACAAUAAUAAUAAUGAACUCAAUGCUUUUACAUUGAGCAAUGGCCAAAUAUACAAUAAUAGAUUUUUAGUUUAAAGCUAGUAUAUAUAAAAAUUCUUGUAUAUUUGUAAUUUUACUAUUUUUAAUUUAAUUUACUCUGUAAUUUUGUCAAUGGCUUGAUGAGCUUUAUCAUCUCUCUUAUAUAUAAUUAACGGAGGAUCUAAAAUUUGAUAUGAUAUAAACCACUUUUGCAUUGGUGUCAUAUGACUUGUUGCUCUAAUGUCCAAAUAUCAAAUAAAUAAAUUUAUAAAUUUAGUAAAAAUUCUUAUUAGAUUCAUGCUUAUUAGUAACAAUUAAUUAAUAAAGUAUAUCUUAUUUUGUUAAAUUUAAAUUAAAAUUUCUACUUGAAAUAAUGUUGGCUUGAAGUUUGUAUGUACUAUAAGUCUUUUCAAAUGUAAGAAUUGUACAAUCAAGUCAUUUAUGUUAUAAUUUACUACAAUAAUUGUUGAAGAUCAGCAAGUACUUGCUUAGUUACAACCACAUAGAGUUUAAGCAUAGUAUGUUGCUAAUAGUAAAAAGGUAGCAAAGAAUUAAAGUAAGUUAUUGUUGUGGCACCAAGGGUUUAGUUGGAUGAGGUAAAAAUGGAUGUAAUAUCAAAUGGAUGGAAGUUGCCUCGUUGGUGAGUAAACCACCAUGUAUGAGUAAAGAAUGUUGGAAGUAAGAAUUAUCUUUCUUUACACUUUUCUUAGACUACAAUCCUUGUUGAUGCUAAGUGUUGGUAGCUUUUAGACUUCUUUUCUUCAAUAGAUUAUGGACCCACUCAUAUUUGCUUGAGUGUUUUUUUGAAGUUCUUUGAAGUGGUUUCGUAAGUGUGGAGUAGAUCAAGUUGUUGUUGCUGAUGUUAGGCUUUGGAAGAACCUAACUUUAGAUUCAGAUCUAGAUCUAGAUCAUGGUUUGGUCUUACUUGUGGUUAAGAGCAUUUUGGUGUUAGUGUCUUAUUUUUCUCCUAUAGACAAAGUUUGCAUUGUGCUUUUGCUGAGAUAGAUCCUUAGUAAUCUAACUUAACGAUUUCAUGUCCUAAAGUUGUUGAUUGUCCUUGAAAGGCCUCUUAUGAUGUAUAGAUGUGAUUUGUGAGCAUAAAAGAGAUAUUAGAGUGGCAAAUCAGAUUUGAAACACUUAGAUAAGUCAUCAGACUUGUGACAAGUCUUAGAAGUGAAGUUGAGAGUGUUUUUGAGAGUUAAAACACUAAUUUGUUCACAAAGAAGGAUUCUAGGAUUCUAAGGCAUUAAAACCUUCUUGCUGACUUUUUGAGAGCAUUAGGACUUCUUCUUACAAUCUUUUUUGAUACAACUCUUUCUUAGACAUGGCUUCAAGUGAGGGUGAAGGAUUGAGAGUUAUUGAGAAGUUUAGAGGUGAUAAUUUCUACCAUUGGAAGGUAAAAAUAGAGCUUUUGUUGGCAUCUUUGGAUCUUUGGGAUAUUAUGGAUGAAAGUGAAGAGGCUCCAAGCAAAGAUGCUGAUAUGAAGGAGAAGAAGGAGUUCAAACGUCGUAAAAAGAAGGCUGUUGGAUUGAUUGCAAUCAAUGUAGAUGAAGCCAACUUCUCCCACAUUAUCUCUUGUAAAGGACCAGUGGAAGCACGAAAGACUCUUUGCAACUUCUAUGAGAGCAAAAACUUAUCCAACAUCAUCUAUACAAGAAGGAAGUUUUUUACUUGCAAGAUGGAAGAAGGUGAAGACCUCAUGGCUCAUGUCAAUAAAGUAAAGGCUCUUGCAAACCAACUAGCAAUUAUUAACAAGCCUUUAGAAGAAAGUGAUAUUGUCAUGACUUUGCUAAUGAGCCUUCCCGAAUCCUACAACUACCUUAUUAUGGUAUUAGAGUCUAUCAAGCUAAAAGAGCUUACAAUAGAUUAUGUGAUGGCAAGACUUGUCCAUGAAGUAACUAAGAAGAAAGAAAAGGAGCCUCAAAGUGAAGAUUUAGCAUUCUACGCACAUCAAGGUAGGAGCAACUAUUCAAAUCAAUAAAGUAAUGUCAAAACUUGCUUCAUUUGUGGCAAAGUAGGCCAUUUUGCUCGAAAUUGCUACAAAGGCAAAAAGAUGAAGAAGGAGAAUGCAAAUAGUGUGCAAGAUGAAUUUGGUAGACAAGAUUAUGCAUUCAUGGCAACAAAUGGGACCUCUAUGGCUACCAUGUCAAGAUGGAUUGUAGAUUUAGAUUGUUCCAAGUAUAUGAUCCCUUAUAAGUAUUCAUUUGACAAUUAUGAAGCUAUUCUAGCAUCAAACAUGGUCUUGGCAGAUAGUGGUACAUGUAAAGCCAUUGGAAUUAGCUCUAUUAUGAUAGAAGUGGUUGUGAAUGGACAAACCAAUAGGAUCAAAUUCAAAAACGUCUUUCAUGUGCCUAAGAUAAAGCAAAACCUACUUUAGGUGAGUAAACUUCUAAUGGAAGGUUUUAAAGUUGAAUUUGACAUAAAUGGAUGUUUUGUAAGAACAUUGAGUAGAGACAAGGUCUUCAAAGACUUGAAAGAAGGAAAUUUGUACUACCUCAUUUGUAAGAAGGUGAAUGGAGUAGAGUUAGCCAUAUUUUCUGAAUUUACAUCAAACCAAGACAAGUUGAAUAUAUGGCAUUGUCGCCUUGGCCAUUUGAAUGUGAAGAGUAUAAGAGAGCUCAAGACCAUGGUAAGUGGCUUAGAUCUUAGCAAUACAAGCCAUAAUGCAAAAUAACUUGCAUAUGAAGGAUGCAGAUAAGUCAAACAACAAAGGGCCUCAUUUCCAAAGAGUGUAGCAACACCUGCUACCAAGUUGCUGGAGAUUGUCCAUUCAGAUGUAUGUGGACCUAUGAAGAACACAAGUAUUAGAGGAUCAAGGUAUUUUCUCACUUUCAUUGAUGAGUAUUCAAGAAAGAUUUGGAUCUACAUUCUUAAAGCCAAGAGUGAAUGCUUUUGGAGGUUUAAGGAGUUUAAAGCACUUAUUGAGAAACAUAGUGAAUGCAAGAUCAAGGUGCUGCGUUGUCGUGAUGUAACAUGAUUAAUAGGUGAAAGAGUGUGGAUAUUAUUAUAAUUUAAGAGAUCUUAGUUCAAAGUAUUAGAAAAAAUUAUCUUAAAAAUAUAGUUAAUAGCCAAAGGGGUAGAAAAAUUAAAAGGUACCAAUGCUGCCUUUUAAAAAGGUGACUUCUACUUACUUUGUAGUACCAUAAGUAAGGCAAAUCAAAGUAUAUUGGGAAAAUAAAUGAUAUAGAAAUCUUUAGAAGAAAGUUAAGAGUAAAUUCUAGAAAAAAAAAUUACUUAGAAAAACUAGAUAUUGAUACCUGGAGAGGGCCGGUUAUGAACCAGGAUCGAAAUCAGACCGUGCGGCACAAAACCGAGUCUCGACAACGACUCCGGGACUCUUUUGCAGAUCGGAGAAAGGGUUCGAGAAAAGGUUGGAUAGGGUUUCUAUGGGCAUUAAUUUUAGGUGAUUUGGAGUUGAUAUGAAUUUGUAAUAUCUUUGCAAAGUUGAGUUUUUUUUUGGAUGACUUGGGUUUUAUGAAAUAAAAUAGGGUUUAUGUUUUGAGUGAUUUUGAGAGUUUUCUUACAGAUCUAUGGGUGAAUUUUUUUGGGUUCAUGUUUAUAGUUGUGUUGAAUACAUGUUGUGAAUUUGAGCUUGAUCUAACGGUUGAACUGAGAGAUAUUUAGGUUUAAAAGAGUCAAGGUCUCAGAAAGUAGAAUUUUAGGUCUAGUGAGGGUUUUUAAGAUUUCAUGCAAUCUACUGGUUGGAUUGGAGUAAAACUUGUGUGAGAGGAUAUUAGACUUGUUUUCCUAUGUCCAUGAGAAAUUUGAAACCAAUCGAACGGCGCAAAGAAGAGAAAUUGGCUCUGGAAGGUUGGCAACAAGAUUGGAGAAGGAGGCCGGCUAACACCCGAACACAUUUUUGAGGUUUUCGUCAAUUUAGUAACUCCGAUCCUUUUCAAACUUUUUUUUCUUGUUUUGAACUUGAUUUUUAAAAAGUGUGCAAAUUUUGAAUUGAGAUCAACGGUUUAUUCAUUAGAUAUUGAGGUUUAAAUCUGUCAUAGGAAUUACUAGGAUUUGGAUUAGGAUUUGGCUAGGAUUUGGCUAGGAUUCGGUUUAGGGUUUGGAUUAGGGUUUGGAUUAGGAUUUGGUUAGGGUUCGAUUUAAGGUUUGGUUUAGGGUUUAGAGUUUGGAUUAGAGUUUAGGGUUGGAUUAGGGUUUGGAUUAGGAUUUAGAUUAGGGUUUAGGAUUUGGUUAGGAUUUGAUUUAGAAUUUAGAUUAGAGUUUGGACUAGGGUUUGGGUAGGAUUUGGUUUAAGGUUUGGUUUAGGGUUUAGGAUUUGGAUUAGAGUUUAGGGUUGGAUUAGGGUUUGGAUUAGGAUUUGGAUUAGGGUUUAGGAUUUGGUUAGGAUUUGAUUUAGGAUUUGGAUUAGAGUUUGGACUAGGGUUUGACUAGGGUUUGGUUUAAGGUUUAGGGUUGGGUUAGGGUUUGGUUUAGGAUUUGAUUUAGGAUUUGGUUUAGGAUUUAGGGUUUAAAAUAGGAUUUAAUUUAAGAUUUGUUCAGGAUUUGACUUAGGGUUUAUGAAUUAUUAGGGUUUAAGAUUUAAUUAGGUUUGGUCUAAAGUUGAGUGAAAUUCAAUAGGGUUUUAACUAGAAUUAAAUUAAGGUUGAAUUGACAUAUAUUUGAGUAAAAUUUGUGAUCAUUCUAAUAUUUCUUUAAGAAUUUUAUUAUUUGUUUGAAAUUUCUUUGAGUUGUUUUGAAUUUGAUUACGUUUGUUUAUCAUUAUUAUAGUCUAAUUAGAGCAUUGUUAGUAUUCUAUUUAGGAUUUUGUUAUCGCAAUUUCUAUUCUUCCUUCUAUAGCCAGGUGCCCGGAGCAUUCUCAAGCAAGACUUCACACAUUACGAUAGCAUAUAGACAAUGGAGGUGAGUACAUGUCUAAAUAAUUUGAUGUUUAUUUGAAGAAUGAAGGAAUUGCUAGACAAACCACAACUCUAUACACUAUACAACAAAAUGGUGUUAUUGAAAGGGCAAAUCAAACCAUUAUAGAGAUGGCAAGGAGCAUGCUUCAUACUCAAAACCUUGGCUAUGAGUUUUGAGUGGAAGCUGUGGUGAAUGCAAUGUAUACAAGAAAUAGGUGUCCAACAAGUGAUCUUGCAUCAUAGACACCACAAGAAGCUUGGAGUGGGAGACAACCUUACAUUUUCCAUAUGAGGACCUUUGGUUGCAUUGCAUAAGCAAAAAUACCAAAUUCUAUGAAGUCCAAACUUGAUGCAAAAGAUACAAAGUGUGUAUUUCUUGGUUAUUGUGAAGGUACUAAGGCAUAUAGGCUAAUGUGCUUGGAAACCAAAAAGAUCAUCAAAAGUCAUGAUGUUGAGUUUUUGAAGCACAAGAGUUCUUGUGAGCACUUAGAGAUAUGUCCAAGUGAGAGUAAUGGUGUGUUUGUGGACACAUCUUUGAAUUCAAGAAAGAAAAAAGAAGAUAAAGACAAUAAAGAUGAUGAAGAUGAAAAGCCAAAGAAGAUUGAAAAGAUGAAAGCUCCUACUAUUAAUAGGAUCAACAAUGAAAGAAAUAAAGAUGUUGAAGAUUGAGAUGAUGAUAAUGAUGAAGAGUACCAACUAUUGAGUGAGAAACGACAAGGUUUAAGAGAGAAGAAGGUUGAAAAAGAACAAAGAUUACAACAAGGUGAAUGUUCUUCUACUAGUGAAAGAAGAUAUUUUUUGAGAGAAAGAAGGCAACGUUGUCGUACUGUAAAUGCUUACAGUAUGUAAAAAUUAGUUAAAACAUAUUAUAUGUUGAUAAAUUUAGAUGUAUGUUAGAGUGGCUAGUAGAUUAAAUUAAAAGGAGUUGGAAUAAGAAACUUUACUUUGUUUCUUUAUUUCUUUUGAUUUUGACAUUAAUAUAUAUAUAUAUAUAUAGGACCUAAAUGUUUAGUAUGAAACCUUGAAAAAAGGUGGAAACCUAAGGAUGAUAAUCUAAACUAGUAGGAAGCUAAUUGGGAGGGAUGAAAGCAAGGCAUGGUCGGAUGAAGGCAAGGAAUGGAGAACUUCAUCCCUAUUGGUCGAAUACCAUGCCUAAUGGGCUUUGAGGAGGCUGCCCGCAAUCUUAAGAAAGGUUUCGACGACUUCAAAGGGAGCAUUCGGAGAUUAGAAGCUAGAGUUGUAAAGUUUAGGAUUUGGAAAACAAUUUUUGUACAAAAAUUAGAGGAUUUGGAGUUAGGAUGAAAAAGUUAUAACCGUUUGAAGUUAAGGUAUUUAUUUAAGAUAUACUGUUAUUCUUUUGAGAGUACGAGGAGUUUUACAGUAACUUUUGAAGAUUGGAAGAUGCGACUGGAACGGCGAUUUCAAGGCCUACAUCUUUCAUGAAAGAAUUAUUGCUUUUGGAGUUCAUAUGAAAGAGUUGUAAGGAAUUGAAGGCGACGCUUCCAAAUCAAAAGUAGUAAGUAAGCGGGUUUGUUUGUAGUAAUGGUUGAAGCCAUAACUUGAGUUUUCGAACGAAUUUUUGGCUCAAACUUUUUGAAGAAUGUAAAAUUUUGUGUUAAGAAGUUAUAUAUAUAAAUUUCGUGGCAUUUGAGCUUAUAUUUUGUGAGAUAUGAAGAAAAUUGCACGCGGAUGUAUAAAGACAAGGAUUUGAAGCGACUGUUAGGGAUUUCAAGAUAUCUCAAGAUUUGCAAUGAAUUUGUAGUUGAAAAUUGUUGUAGAAGUUAAUAAAAAUACAUCAGUACCUCAUGUAAAAUUUGAGUUUGUUUGGACGGUUGGAUUAAGAGAUAUGAGAUGUUGAAGUUUGGAAAAAUCUCCACAUAAGAAUAAACAAGGAUUUAGAAGAUUUUAUCAUAUUUUGGAAGUUGUGGGUUACUUGAGGAUUGUGUAUUUUGUGUAAUUACUCAAAAAAAAAAAAAUUAUAUAUAAACUUAGGGCUUCCCUUACUUUCAAGCUUGAUUGAAUAAUUAGUGACAGCCAGAAGCCCAGUGUUUUCUUGAGGCAAACUCUCUCUACCCCGACAACGUGGCGAAUGGUCGAAGGAUCACAUCUUCCCUCAAGUAAGUGAAGAACAUGCAAAUGUUGUUCUUCUUGCUGAUCCACUGUCUUUGUGUGAUGCUAUGAAGUGUGAAGAUGCAAUCAAGUCAGAGAAGGCUAUGGGAGAAGAGUACCAAUCUCUUAUAGACAAUGGCACAUGGGAAUUGGCACCUCUUCAAGCAAAUCGAUCUAGUGUUGGUUGUAAGUGGGUGUUUAGGACUAAAAGAGAUGCAAUGGAUGUGGUGGUGAGGCACAAGGCAAGAUUAAUUGCAAAAGGAUAUUCAUAAGUUGCUGGAAUUGAUUUCAAUGAGACUUAUGCACCUGUUGCUAAAUUCACCACCAUUAUGACCAUUGUAGCAAUUGGAGUAGUAAUGGAUUUAAAAAUAUACCAAAUGGAUGUGAAGACGGCCUUUUUGAAUGGAGAAUUGCAAGAAGACAUCUACAUGGACCAAUCUUAAGGAUUUGUACAACAAGGCAAAGAACAUCUUGUGUGCAAAUUGAAGAGAUCGUUGUAUGGAUUGAAACAAUCACCUAGGGCAUGGUACCAACGAAUUGACACCUUUGUCAAUAAAGGAUUUGUGAGGAGUGAAGUUGAUCAUUCAUUAUAUGUAAUGCAAUCUAGAGAGUUCUUGCUGAUUGUAAUCCUAUAUGUUGAUGAUUUGAUCAUCUAGGCUACAAUAUAGAAAAGAUGGAUUAGAUUAAAGCCAAAUUAGAGAAGGAAUAUGAGAUGAGUGAUUUGGGAGAGUUGCACUAUUACUUAGGAGUGGAAUUUGUAAGAGAUCGUGGUAACAAGACUAUUACAAUGAGCCAAACCAAGUACAUUAAAGAAGUGUUGAAACAAUUCAAUAUGGAGGAGUGCAAGCCUAUUGGAACUCCCUUAGAGAUAAAUUUAAAGUUGAUAAAGCUCACGGAUAAGGAGUUUACACAAGUUGAAGGUGAAAUGUAAAGUGUUCCAUACAAAGUAGUAAUAGGCUCACUCAUAUAUGCAAUGGUGGCCACAAGAGUGGAUCUUCCAUAUGCGGUAAGUGUUUAAGCCAAAACAUAUUUAAAGUUAGACCAAUGCAUUAAAAAAUGAAAAAGAAGAUAUUAAGGUACUUAAAAGGUACAAAAGACUUCAAAUUGUGCCUUAGUCAUAAGAACAUUGACUUGCAAGGUUAUUAAGAUGCGGAUUAAGCUGGAAAUGCAAAUGAUAGAAGAUCCACAAUAGGAUACGUGUUCUUCAUUGGAGUGGGAGCCAUUUCAUGGAAUUACAAAAGACAACCUAUCAUUGCAAGAUCAAUGAUGGAGUCACAGUACAUGGCAACAAGUCAUUGUACAAUGGAGGUUGGUUGGAUAAAGCAACUGUUAGAAGACAUUGGUCUAGUGCCAUUAGAAGUAACUCUCAUUAUGUGUGACAAUCAAGGAUGUCUUGCAUUUGCCAAAAAUCCAAAACACCACUCAAGGACCAAGCACAUUGAUGUUCAACAUCAUUUCAUACGAGAAAAGAUUGAAGAUGGAAUAAUAGGUAUGAAGUAUUGUGCUACAAAUGACAUGCUUGCUGAUGUGCUUACAAAGGUAUUAGUGAAGGAUAGACAUCAUGACUUGAUUCAGAGAUUAGGAUUAAAAGCCUUUUGAAUAUUAGCAAAGUGGGAGUAUUGAAGAUCAACAAGUACUUGCUUAGUUACAACCACAUAGAGUUUAAGCAUAGUAUGUUGCUAAUAGUAAAAAGACAGUAAAGAAUUAAAGUAAGUUAUUGUGGUGGCACUAAGGGUUUAGUUGGAUGAAGUAGAAAUGGAUAUAAUAUCAAAUGAAUGGAAGUUGCCUUGUUGGUGAGCAAACCACCACCUAUAAGUAAAGAGUGUUGGAAGUAAGAAUUAUCUUUCUCCACACUUCUCUUAGACUACAAUCUUUAUUGAUGCUAAGUGUUUGUAGCUUUUAGACUUCUUUUCUUCAAUAAUAAUGACAUAUUAAUGGUUUAUAAGAAUUUUUUUGAUUAACAUCUUGUGUUCUAUAUAAUUUAUUUAUUUUUUAAAAAUAUAUAUAUAAUUAAUUAAAAAUUUAUUUUAUUUCCAAUUAUUUUUUUAUGUUGACUUCUUUCCAAAAAAGCUCUUGACUUAGAUAAUACAUUCAAACUUUGCUUAGAAUCUUCAUUUCUUUAUAUCGAGACUUCUUCUAAACUUCUUAAAAUCAAAUUAGAUAGAGUUUUAUUUGUAUUGGAAUCUUGUGGUGUAACAAAAGUCCUUCAAAAAGAAACAAGAGUUCGUAAUAAUUGUACAUAUUGUUGUUCUUUAGAAAUAAUAAGUCUUGAUAUUGAAACUUCAUCAAGAAUUCCUUGAAAUUCUUCAAUAAACUCUACUAGGGGUGUUUCUUUAUUGAUAGCUAAUUCAGAUAAUAUCUUUUGUGUUGUGACUUGUAAUGCAAGAUUAAUUUGUUUAUACCCAGAUCCUAACUUAUCUCAUAUUUCUUAAGAAAUUUUAAGAGCUUUUACCAAAAUGACUUGUUUAUCACGACAAUGUUAUAGAAUAUUUGCUCUUGCUUUAGCAUCUUUAAUUUCCAUGCAUUUUGUGAUACAAUGUUUGCAAGACCAGGAUCGAGUUUUGUUGAAUUUACAACAAAGAAAAGGUCCUUUAAAACAAAACUCAUUUCCAUUUUAACACUCCAUAAAUUGUAACUCGUAGAUGAUAAUUUUCUACCAAAUAUGUUUUAUGAAUUGAAUUUGAAUAAGCAAUAAUUGAUUACUUUUUUGUUGGAAAAAUAAUCAAUAUAUGAUAUGGACAUUUGUCCUUUCACCGCCACCACCAGUUCCCUCUGCCCCCUGGGCUUCAAGGAGAACCCCAAUGGAACCUCAAAAUCAGAUCACUCCAAUUCCUCACAGCAUGCAUGCAUGUAGAUACAGGCCGAAUGUGAUCUCGAGAGAUGGAAACAGGAGAAUGCCCAUCUUCGACAGUAUGCUCUCGAAGCACGAGUUGCUGAUCAAGUGGGGCGGCGUCCCACUUUCUGCAUGCAGCUUUUCCACCACUGUGGCUGUUCUUUGUAGCACCAACAUGCCCGAUCCAAAGUACUCGCCUUAGUCUGCAACAACCAACCGCUUGAACGUGUUUAGCACCGAAAGGUGCAAGUUGUAUUGUGACAUCUCUUGCUCAGCAAAUUUCCCGCCCCCGAGCCCUUCUGCGGCGUCGUAGCCACCACCUGGCACCCGAAGCUCGUCCACCUGGACCUCCUGUCCGCAAUCAGGUACCGGGUUUCGAAGUAAAACUCCACAACGAAUUGGCCCGGAUUUCUCUGCAGCUCUGCCUCCAGGACCGGCCCCAGCUGUUGCCGCAGCGAGGCUUGCUCCCCCUUCACCCUCACCACCAGUCCCCUCUUCCCCCUCGGCUUCAAGGAGAACCCCAGUUGAACUUCUUGUCUCAGAAUCAGAUCACCCCUGUACCUCACAGCCACAACUAAUUCUCGAAACGUGGUGAAGCACCCUGCCACCGUGUUCGGACUCCAAGUCGAGAGCGUCAGGUUGAAGUCACUGCUAACCAGCCACGGCGAGUCGGGGGAGUCCGCGGUGGUAUUUUGGUAGACGGCCAUGUCUCGAAUGCUCGCAGUCACCAGCGAUAAACCCGGUGGUCGGUGGCAGGGUGCUGAAAUGGAGAUAAUCGACAUAACGACCGCAAAAACUACGCAGCUUGUCACAAAUAAGCAAGUGGAUGAGCACGUUUCCCUCAAGAAACUUGUCAUGCACUCGUGACAUCGUCUAUGGAUCGGCACAGGGAGGUCGAUGUAUACCAUAUAAGUUUGGUCCCCUUCACAAGUCUGUGUUGUUGCAACUAUCUCCGGAGACUGCAUAGUGCAAAGAAUGCUCAGAACUCUACAAAGUGUGCGAAAAUUGGUUCCAAAAUCAUGGUAGCACAGGCCUGCCCGUGUUACCCAUUCACCAUAGCAAGCAACUCGGAGGCAGAGUAUAUUUCAAUGUGUGCUCGACUCACAAGCUUGUACGGGAAAUCGCCCAUUUCCAAGGUGCACAGUCGGCUGCUGGGAUACAGUCGGUGCCAACUGUUGUUGACAAACGCGACGAAGAAGCAUCAGAUUCGGCAAUUAGAAUCUUAGCAGCUUUUGUGCAAGUUUCCUGCUCCCAGAAUUAUGGAGAUAAGUGACCUUGCUUCAGUCGGGAUCAUUUGAUUGUCGACAGCUUGGAGAUGCUCUUUUUUUGUCAUUUGCCCCCUUUUCCAGGCUGCAUGAAAGUGGAGCAGCACAGUUUAGUGUGCUCGAGUUGUGGAUAAGAUCACCAUUUCGGCAAAUCCCAGUAAUUUUUUACUAGUUGUGCAGACUGGGUAAGUCAGCUUCGGCACCAUCCUUCAAGUAUGCCGAAAACGUCUCCGGUGUGUGGCAAGUCAGCGCCGGGUUUGAUUGGCGCAUGAGAGAAGGAGCAAACACAUCAAGCGUAUGAUUUAUAAUUGAUGACAUUGGUUAUUGGUCACGUUUCUGGCCGAAAAGUUUCCUCUUCAGUGUCACCAGUCAUUGCAAUGCAUGAAGAGAGAUUGAAAGUACUUGAGCUGUGUAAAGUAUCACCAUUUCGGCAAAUGCCGACGGUUUCUUGCUGUUUGUGCAGACUCAAUAAGUGGGCCUGGACAUUUAAUCUUCUUAAGUUUUCACCGUUUUCCUGCUCUUAACUCAAUCGUGAUCUUACAUCUGAGGUUUCUAUGACCUCAAUCAUAUGUUUUCUUUGACCUACUUUUGCUCUCGUAUUGUACUUCGUCCAAGCAACUAAACUAACUUUGCUUUGCAGCCUUUGACUUUAUUCUUUGUCAACUUGUGCUUCAACUUUAUGAUAUCAAAUUUGGUCUUCCAACUAUAACCUAACGAUUGUGACCUUUGUCAAACCUAAGGAGUACAACUUGAGCUUGUUUUUGUACUUUUGGAGCUAUUUCUCAAGUUUGUUUAUUUCCUUUAUUGUAAAUAUUGCAUGCUUUAUGUUUUUUUUCAUUUUCUAAGUUGUAAUUGAAGUCAACUGAUUCUCAUUUGAAGUUCCAAGUUCAAAAUUUUGUAUUUAUAUAUUAUCACCAAGAAGUAGCUAUUUUUUUUUAUUUAAAAUACUUGAAUUGAAAUUCAAGAUAAUUCUAACUUUUGAUAAUUACUUUUUUAAAAAUUUAAUAAAUUUUUCCAAUAUAUGUUUGGUAAUUUGGACACAAUUACAAAUAAUUUUUUUUCUUGAUGCCUAUGAAUAAUUUACCUCUUGUUAGUUAAUAGGUAUUUUGUAGUGAUUUAUAUUCAAUUAGAAUAGUAUUUUUUUCAUUUUGGAAAUAAAAAUAAUUAAUAUUGCAGUUGAAUCUUUUUGUGGUUAUAUUCUUUUAGAUUUUGGUAGAAUCUACUUCUUUAUACAUGUCUCUUUUAUUUGAAUACUAUAUACUUCUUAAGUUUUUUAUUUAUUUUUUUAUUUUUUUUAAUAAAAUAAUCAUUUUUAUAAGAUUAAUAUUUGAUGCCUAUUAUUUAGAAUUUUAAUUAAGUUGUAGAAAAAUUGUCUUGAAACUAUCUAAUUUAACUUUAUUGUGUUUUGUGAAGCUUGCUUGAAAAUGCUCCAAGCACUUGAUUGUAGAAGGUAAAAUAGAAUUUGUAAUAAUAAGAUUUUAAUAACUCUAACAAAAUCCUAAACAAACUCUAACUAAAUUGUAAUAAUGCUAAUCAAAAUUCAAAAGAAGUUUCAAAGAAAUCUCAAAAGAAACAUAAAAAAAAUCAUAAAAUAACCUUAAAGAAAUAUAUUUAACAAAAAAUCCUAAAGAAAUAUUAAAGAAAUCUUUAAAAAAUAUUAAAAAUAGAAACCUUAAAUGAAUAUUAAUCAAAUCUUAAUGUAACUUUUAAUAAAUCCUAAAGAAAUUCUAAACCAAUCUUAACCAAAUACAAAAAUAUUCCUAAUGAAAUUCUAAACAAAUCCUAAUAAAAUCCUAAACAAAUCCUAAUCAAAUCCUAAUCAAAUCCUAAAUAAAUCCUAACCAAAUCCUAAUCAAAUCCUAAUCAAAUCCUAAAUAAAUCCUAACCAAAUCCUAAUCAAAUCCUAACCAAAUCCUAAAUUAAUCCUAAUCAAAUCCUAACCAAAUCCUAAUCAAAUCCUAAAUAAAUCCUAACCAUAUCCUAAUCAAAUCCUAACCAAAUCCUAACCAAAUCCUAAAUAAAUCCUAACCAAAUCCUAAUCAAAUCCUAACCAAAUCCCAAACAAAUCCUAAACAAAUUCAAAAAAAUCCUAAAUAAAUCUUAUACAAUUAUUAUAGUAGUUUA
rnacentral:lncRNA from 1 species